GGGCCCGUGGGGUAGCUUGGUUAUCCUUGUGGCUUCGGGAGUCAUAGACCCGAGUUCAAAUCUCGGCGGGCCCA
rnacentral:tRNA from 2 species